rnacentral:rRNA from 1 species
AUUGAACGCUGGCGGCAGGCCUAACACAUGCAAGUCGAGCGAGCGGCGGACGGGUGAGUAAUGUCUGGGAAACUGCCUGAUGGAGGGGGAUAAAUACGGGAAACGGUAGCUAAUACCGCAUACCAUCGGAUGUGCCCAGAGGGGAUUAGCUAGGAGGUGGGGUAACGGCUCACCUAGGCGACGAUCCCUAGCUGGUCUGAGAGGAUGACCAGCCACACUGGAACUUAGACACGGUCCAGCCUCCUACGGGAGGGAGCAGUGGGGAAUAUUGCAAAAUGGGCGCAAGCCUGAUGCAGCCAUGCCGCGUGUAUGAAGAAGGCCUUCGGGUUGUAAAGUACUUUCAGCGGGGAGGCGUUACCCGCAGAAGAAGCACCGGCUAACUCCGUGCCAGCGGCCGCGGUAAUAC